GAUGAACGCUGGCGGCGUGCCUAAUACAUGCAAGUCGAACGCACAGCGAAAGGUGCUUGCACCUUUCAAGUGAGUGGCGAACGGGUGAGUAACACGUGGAUAACCUACCUCAAGGUUGGGGAUAACAUUUGGAAACAGAUGCUAAUACCGAAUAAAACUUAGUAUCGCAUGAUACCAGGUUAAAAGGCGCUACGGCGUCACCUAGAGAUGGAUCCGCGGUGCAUUAGUUAGUUGGUGGGUAAAGGCUUACCAAGACAAUGAUGCAUAGCCGAGUUGAGAGACUGAUCGGCCACAUUGGGACUGAGACACGGCCCAAACUCCUACGGGAGGCUGCAGUAGGGAAUACUUCCACAAUGGGCGAAAGCCUGAUGGAGCAACGCCGCGUGCGUGAUGAAGGCUUUCGGGUCGUAAAGCACUGUUGAUGGGAAGAACAGCUAGAGUAGGGAAUGACUUAG
rnacentral:rRNA from 1 species